rnacentral:rRNA from 1 species
CCCUUAGAUGUCCUGGGCUGCACGCGCGCUACACUGAUGCGCUCAACGAGUUUCUUCCUGGUCCGAGAGGAAUGGGUAACCUUUUGAAAGUGCAUCGUGAUAGGGAUAGACUAUUGCAAUUAUUGGUCUUCAACGAGGAAUUCCUAGUAGACGUAGUUCAUCAGACUGCAUCGAUUACGUCCCUGCCCUUUGUACACACCGCCCGUCGCUCCUACCGAUUGAAUGCUCAGGUGAGCCAUUCGGACUUUCAUCAUGCUGGUUUCCAGUUUUGAUGAAGGAAAGUCUUGCGAACCUUAUCAUUUAGAGGAAGGAGAAGUCGUAACA